rnacentral:lncRNA from 1 species
CUGGAACCCAGGAAGCCAGGCCAUCCUGACGCCUGCUGGCUCCACAGCCCACGCCCAUCGGCGCCGUGCACUCCGACCUGCCCUCCCAGCCCCCACAUCGGGACAAAGUCCAGCCCCACAGCAAAAACCAGGUGAGGCCAGGGUGAGACCCCCCGCCCCAGCGUUUGAGCUGGCUGGCCCUACCCCUGACCCUUCCACCGCUGGCCCAGGCGCUGAACUCCACCAAUGGAGAGCUGAAUGCGGACGACCCCACUGCAGGGCAUUCCAACGCUCCCAUCACAGCCCCGGCAGAGGUUGAGGUGGCUGAUGACACCAAGUGCUGCUGUUUCUUCAAGAGGAGGAAGAGAAAAUCACUGCAGCGGCACAAGUGACCCAGGCGCUCUUGGCAUGGGACUGUCCUCGAUGUUGCCCUCGGGUCAGCUUGUCCCCGAGGCCAUGGGCCACCUACAGGCCGGCCAGCGACUAGCUGCAGCCCCAGUUAGACUGCAGGGCCGCCUGGCCCAGACGUGGGUCCCUUCCUUCACGUAAGACUUUGGCCGAAAUUUCUACACCUGUGUCUAGUCCUCUCCUCCAAGAGCAUUAACUAUUUAAACAAGAAACAAAGGAACCCAGAGGCCCGCUGCCCUCCCCGUCUGCCGAGUGAGUAGCGAGACCGGGCUGGAUGCUGCGCCGCCCGUUAGCCUCAUGAAGUCCAUUUUGUCUCCCUUGAUCCAAAGGCCAUUUCCUCGAGGGGGCAGGGGCAGGGGCAGGGCCAGGCCCAGCCCUGGAGGCGCUGCCCACGAGGGGACCCUGGCACUGCUGUGGGAUGAGACCGGCUCGGUCCAACCCCAGACCAAAGGGGAAGGCGGGGCGGGGCGCAGUCCGGCUGGAGCCAGCCCCCCAACCAAAAUGCUGCACCAAAGCUCGGCUGGAGGCAGCCCUGUGCCAGAGGGUGCACCUGCUCCCGGAGACACCCCGGCCCCUGGGUGGGUGUCCACUGCCCCUGCCUGGGAUCUGGGCCGGCUGGGCCCUCACUGCGCCAGCUGCAGCUGGGGCUUCUGGUCUCGCGCCCGCCAGUGGGGCACAGCUGCGGGAGACAGAUCGCUUAAAGCCCUGCGACCCGCAGGUGUUGCUGGUUGCUGGUGGGGCAGCCGCAGAGCCAGGUGGCGACCCCUGCAGGACCCGGGAAACUGCUGGGUGGGCGAGGUGCCCACUUCCAAGGUGGUGGUCAUUCAGGCGUAGUUCUUGCUUUACAAAGUGUACAGAAAUGGCAUUUACGUUUCUCUGACGCUUCCUUGAAGCCAUAGAAUUUAGGGGCUUUUUU